rnacentral:rRNA from 1 species
AUUGAACGCUGGCGGCAUGCUUUACACAUGCAAGUCGAACGGUAACAGGCCGCAAGGUGCUGACGAGUGGCGAACGGGUGAGUAAUGCAUCGGAACGUGCCCAGUCGUGGGGGAUAACGCAGCGAAAGCUGCGCUAAUACCGCAUACGAUCUAUGGAUGAAAGCGGGGGACCGUAAGGCCUCGCGCGAUUGGAGCGGCCGAUGUCAGAUUAGGUAGUUGGUGGGGUAAAGGCUCACCAAGCCGACGAUCUGUAGCUGGUCUGAGAGGACGACCAGCCACACUGGGACUGAGACACGGCCCAGACUCCUACGGGAGGCAGCAGUGGGGAAUUUUGGACAAUGGGCGCAAGCCUGAUCCAGCCAUUCCGCGUGCAGGAUGAAGGCCCUCGGGUUGUAGACUGCUUUUGUACGGAACGAAACGGUGCUCUCUAAUACAGGGCGCUAAUGACGGUACCGUAAGAAUAAGCACCGGCUAACUACGUGCCAGCAGCCGCCGUAAGAC